GGGAGUGGAUGGGUGCUGGUGUGCCCCUCGGUCUUCAAAACCGGUGUGUCCUCUUACGGGGACGGGUGGGUUCGAUUCCUACACAUUCCC
rnacentral:tRNA from 1 species